rnacentral:rRNA from 1 species
UAAGACGUAGGGGGCGAGCGUUGUCCGGAUUUAUUGGGCGUAAAGCGCGCGUAGGCGGCCCGGAUAGUCGGAUGUGAAAACCCAGGGCUCAACCCUGGGCCUGCACCCGAUACUCCCGGGCUAGAGGCAGGUAGGGGAGAGUGGAAUUCCCGGUGUAGCGGUGAAAUGCGCAGAUAUCGGGAGGAACACCAGUGGCGAAGGCGGCUCUCUGGGCCUGUCCUGACGCUCAGGCGCGAAAGCUAGGGGAGCAAACAGGAUUAGAUACCCUGGUAGUCCUAGCCGUAAACGUUGGGUGCUAGGUGUGGGGCGGCGAUUGACCCGCUCUGUGCCGAAGCUAACGCAUUAAGCACCCCGCCUGGGGAGUACGGCCGCAAGGCUA